UGCAGUCGAGCGGCAGCAGGUCCUUCGGGAUGCUGGCGAGCGGCGGACGGGUGAGUAACGCGUGGGAAUCUGCCCAUCGGUGGGGGAUAGCCCGAGGAAACUCGGAUUAAUACCGCAUACGCCCUUAGGGGCAAAGUGGACCUCUGAUACAAGUUCACGCCGAUGGAUGAGCCCGCGGCCGAUUAGCUAGUUGGUGGGGUAAAGGCCUACCAAGGCGACGAUCGGUAGCUGGUCUGAGAGGACGAUCAGCCACACCGGAACUGAGACACGGUCCGGACUCCUACGGGAGGCAGCAGUGGGGAAUAUUGGACAAUGGGCGAAAGCCUGAUCCAGCAAUGCCGCGUGGGUGAAGAAGGCUUGCGGGUUGUAAAGCCCUUUCAGCAGGGAGGAAAAGCAUUCGGUUAAUACCCGGAUGUCUUGACGUUACCUGCAGAAGAAGCACCGGCUAACUCCGUGCCAGCAGCCGCGGUAAUACGGAGGGUGCAAGCGUUAAUCGGAAUUACUGGGCGUAAAGCGCGCGUAGGCGGUCGGAUAAGUUGGAUGUGAAAGCCCUGGGCUCAACCUGGGAAUUGCAUUCGAUACUGUCUGGCUAGAGUCUGGUAGAGGGUGGUGGAAUUCCUGGUGUAGCGGUGAAAUGCGUAGAUAUCAGGAGGAACAUCAGUGGCGAAGGCGACCACCUGGACCAAGACUGACGCUGAGGUGCGAAAGCGUGGGGAGCAAACAG
rnacentral:rRNA from 1 species